AGAGUUUGAUCCUGGCUCAGGAUUAAUGCUGGCGAGAUGCAUAACACAUGCAAGUCGAGCGGUAACAGAGAGAAGCUUGCUUCUCUGCUGACGAGCGGCGGACGGCUGAGUAACACGUUGGUACUUGCCUCAAACUCAGGGAUAAGCACUGGAAACGGUGUCUAAUACCGGAUACCCCGGCAACGAGAAAGCGUUUAGCGGUUUGAGAGAGGCCUGCGGUCCAUUAGCUAGUUGGUGAGGUAAGGGCUCACCAAGGCCAUGAUGGAUAUCUGGUGUGAGAGCACGGACAGACAGAGUGGGACUGAGAUACGGCCCACACUCCUACGGGAGGCAGCAGUGAGGAAUUUUUCGCAAUGGGGGAAACCCUGACGGAGCAAUCUCGCGUGCAGGAUGACACCUUUCGGGGCGUAAACUGCUUUUAUGAGGGAAGAAAAUUUGACGGUACCUCAUGAAUAAGGGACGGCUAACUACGUGCCAGCAGCCGCGGUAAUACGUAGGUCCCAAGCAUUAUCCGAAAUUACUGGGCGUAAAGCGAUCGAAGGCGGUUUAUUAAGUUUGGCGUCAAAGCCCUCGGCUCAACCGAGGAAUUGUGCUGAAAACUGCUAAACUAGAGGCAUGCAGAGGUAACUGGAAUUUCUACUGUAGGGGUUAAAUCCGUAGAUAGUAGAAGGAACACCAAAAGCGAAGGCAGGUUACUGGGCAUGUCCUGACGCUGCGCGAUCGAAAGCGUGGGGAGCGAAACGGAUUAGAUACCCGUGUAGUCCACGCCCUAAACGAUGGAUACUCGGCGUAGGAGGGUUUCAAAUCCCCUUCUGUGCCCAAGCUAACGCGUUAAGUAUCCCGCCUGGGGAGUACGGCCGCAAGGUUAAAACUCAAAGGAAUAGACGGGGAUCCACACAAGCAGUGGAGCAUCUGGUUUAAUUCGAUAAUAAGCGGAGAACCUUACCGGGGCUUGACAUCUCUAGAAUCUUCUGGAAACAGAAGAGUGCCCUUCGGGGAGCUGGAUGACAGGUGCUGCAUGGUUGUCGUCAGCUCGUGCUUGAAGUGUUCGGUUAAGUCCGUUAACGAGCGCAACCCUCGUCGUAUGUUGUUUUUUCAUGCGAGACUGCCAGGUUCAACCUGGAGGAAGGUGAGGAUGACGUCAAAUCAGCAUGGCCCUUAUGUCCCGGGCUACACAGGUGCUACAAUGGCCAGUACAAAGCGCAGCGAAGCCGUAAGGUGAAGCCAAUCGCAUCAAAACUGGUCUCAGUUCGGAUUGAGGUCUGCAACUCGACCUUAUGAAGUUGGAAUUGCUAGUAAUCGCGCAUCAGCAAUGGCGCGGUGAAUAUGUUCCUGGAUCUUGUACUCACCGCCCGUCAAACCACGAAAGAUCGGAGUACCCGAAGUCGCGUUAUCCUCUCGGGGAGCGUGCCUAAGGUAAGACGGUUAAUUGGGGUUAAGUCGUAACAAGGUA
rnacentral:rRNA from 1 species